rnacentral:SRP_RNA from 1 species
GCUGGGCGUGGUGGCACGUGCCUGUAGUCCCAGCUACUCGGGAGGCUGAGUGGGGAGGAUCACUUGAGCCCAGGAGUUCUGGGCUGUAGUGUGCUAUGCCAAUUAGGUGUCCACACUAAGUUUGGCGUCAAUAUGGUGACCUCCCGGGAGCGGUAACCAACAGGUUGCCGAAGGAGGGUGAACUGGCCCAGGUCAGAAACAGAGCAGGUCAAAACUCCCAUGAUGAUCAGUAGUGGGAUCGCACCUGUGAAUAGCCACUGCACUCCAGCCUGGGCAGCACAGCGAGACCUUGUCUCU